GCCAGCAGCCAUGUCACUCUGCAGCUCACAACUGGCAGCCCACUGAAGCUAAGCAGGUGUGAGCCUGGUCAGUACCUGGAUGGAGACCUCCUGGGAAAAACUAAGGUUGCUGCUGGAA
ensembl:rRNA 5S_rRNA 5S ribosomal RNA